UACGUAGGUGGCAAGCGUUGUCCGGAAUUAUUGGGCGUAAAGCGCGUGUAGGCGGCUCGGUAAGUCUGCUGUGAAAGUCCAAGGCUCAACCUUGGAAAGCCGGUGGAUACUGUCGAGCUCGAGUCCGGAAGAGGCGAGUGGAAUUCCUGGUGUAGCGGUGAAAUGCGCAGAUAUCAGGAGGAACACCAAUGGCGAAGGCAGCUCGCUGGGACGGUACUGACGCUGAGACGCGAAAGCGUGGGGAGCAAACAGG
rnacentral:rRNA from 1 species